GAAAGAGCUGGCUUGAUAAUGAAGCCAAUAUACUGAGAAGAGCAGAACUGGGAGAGUCAUCACAGAGAAAGAGAUCUGACUGAAGUCCUUUCUCCGGGAGAGUAGGGCUUCGUUAUAAGAACACUCUGGGCUUGUUUCACAAGGGUUACUCUUCCCCUCCCCUUGCCGGGUCUGCAGGGGAAUUUUCUCAAAUCAUUAUUAGGAGAACCUGGUGGGUUUCCUGAAGGGCAAGCCUAUAAAUGUGAGACUGAAGCGUCCAAGUGUUUCUUACUCUCAAGGUAAGCAGACCUCUCCUGUGAUGUUCUGGAUAUGCCUGUCUCAACAGAUUUCAGGGUGGCCGUCUUCUCUGCAAAUUCAGUUCUCUGAUGUGUCCAAGGCCUUCAUUAUCUCACUUCACAAGAAGUCAGGUGCCAAGCAGAUCCAAGCUCAUUCAGAGGCUGCACCAUGUCAACUGGGACCCAGGUUUCAUCCAUGUUUCUGCUCUGUCAUUAUGUCAUACUCCAAGGGAGUCGCCAGAUGACUGCUGCAGCUGAGGCUUUUCUUUCACAGCAUCUAACAGAGGCUGGGGAGAGGCUCCAUGAAGCACGUGGUUUCCUAAUACCAGAAGAAAAUUCAAGCCUUUUAACAUGGCAGUCCACAGUGGUAGGAGGCGGAAAGAGACUUUGGGUAUUCAGAAAUGGUUUAUCACCUUCUACUUCUUUGGCUGCAUGAUACUCAGAGAUACCAUUCAUGUCUAUAUCUAAAUGACACUCAUUUUUUUCCUUUCUAAAUGGAGCACCUGGCUCCAAGUUCUGGACAUCUGGGUGAUGCAGUGUUUUCUUCAUUUAUCCCCUAUGUACAACCCUAUGGAUAUAAGACAAAUAAUUUACUAAUUACACACAAAUAUACACUGAGAAACAGAAGCAGCUAAUUCCAAAAUUCUUGUUU
rnacentral:lncRNA from 1 species